ACUGGAGGACCGAACCCACUGUCGUUGAAAAGCCAGGGGAUGACUUGUGGAUAGGAGUGAAAGGCUAAUCAAACUCGGAGAUAGCUGGUUCUCCUCGAAAGCUAUUUAGGUAGCGCCUCGUGUAUCACCAUAGGGGGUAGAGCACUGUUUGGGCUAGGGGGUCAUCCCGACUUACCAACCCCAUGCAAACUCCGAAUACCUAUGAGUGCGAGCACGGGAGACACACUGCGGGUGCUAACGUCCGUUGUGGAGAGGGCAACAACCCAGACCGCCAGCUAAGGUCCCAAAUUCAUAGUUAAGUGGGAAACGAUGUGGGAAGGCUUAGACAGCUAGGAGGUUGGCUUAGAAGCAGCCAUCCUUUAAAGAAAGCGUAAUAGCUCACUAGUCGAGUCGGCCUGCGCGGAAGAUUUAACGGGGCUCAAACUAUGAACCGAAGCUGCGGAUAUAGAUUUAUCUAUAUGGUAGAGGAGCGUUCUGUAAGCCGUUGAAGGUGAAUCGAGAGGUUUGCUGGAGGUAUCAGAAGUGCGAAUGCUGACAUGAGUAACGAUAAGGGGAGUGAAAAACUUCCCCGCCGGAAGACCAAGGGUUCCUGCGCAACGCUAAUCGGCGCAGGGUGAGUCGGCCCCUAAGGCGAGGCUGAGAAGCGUAGUCGAUGGGAAACAGGUUAAUAUUCCUGUACUUCUUUAUAUUGCGAUGGAGAGACGGAGAAAGCUAGGCCAGCAUGGCGAUGGUUGUCCAUGUUUAAGGUUGUAGGCUGGGGGAUUAGGCAAAUCCGGUCCCCUAAGGCUGAGAACUGAUGACGAGAUCCUACGGGAUUGAAGUGGUUGAUGCUCUGCUUCCAGGAAAAACUUCUAAGCUUCAGAUAUAAAGAAACCGUACCCCAAACCGACACAGGUGGUCAGGUAGAGAAUACCAAGGCGCUUGAGAGAACUCGGGUGAAGGAACUAGGCAAAAUGGUACCGUAACUUCGGGAGAAGGUACGCUGCUGCCGGUGAUGGGACUUGCUCCCUAAGCUAGCGGCAGUCGAAGAUACCAGUUAGCUGCGACUGUUUAUUAAAAACACAGCACUCUGCAAACUCGAAAGAGGACGUAUAGGGUGUGACACCUGCCCGGUGCCGGAAGGUUAAUUGAUGGGGUUAGCGUAUGCGAAGCUCUUGAUCGAAGCCCCGGUAAACGGCGGCCGUAACUAUAACGGUCCUAAGGUAGCGAAAUUCCUUGUCGGGUAAGUUCCGACCUGCACGAAUGGUGUAACGAUGGCUAAGCUGUCUCCACCCGAGACUCAGUGAAAUUGAAAUCGCUGUUAAGAUGCAGCGUAUCCGCGGCUAGACGGAAAGACCCCGUGAACCUUUACUACAGCUUCACAGUGAACUUUGAGCCUACUUGUGUAGGAUAGGUGGGAGGCUUUGAAACAUGCACGCCAGUGUGUGUGGAGCCAUCCUUGAAAUACCACCCUGGUAUGUUUGAGGUUCUAACUCAGGUCCAUUAUCUGGAUCGAGGACACUGUGUGGUGGGUAGUUUGACUGGGGCGGUCUCCUCCCAAAGAGUAACGGAGGAGCACGAAGGUGGGCUAAGCAUGGUCGGACAUCAUGCGGUUAGUGUAAUGGCAUAAGCCCGCUUAACUGCGAGACAGACACGUCGAGCAGGUACGAAAGUAGGUCAUAGUGAUCCGGUGGUUCUGUAUGGAAGGGCCAUCGCUCAACGGAUAAAAG
rnacentral:rRNA from 1 species